GACGAACGCUGGCGGCGUGCUUAACACAUGCAAGUCGAACGGGAUUUAGUAAACAGAAACCUCGGUGGAAGAUUACUAAUGAGAGUGGCGAACGGGUGAGUAACGCGUGAGCACCCUGCCUAUGACAGUGGGAUAGCCUCGGGAAACCGGGAUUAAUACCGCAUAAAAUCGUAGAAACACAUGUUUUAACGGUCAAAGAUUUAUCGGUCAUAGAUGGGCUCGCGUCUGAUUAGCUAGUUGGUGAGAUAACAGCCCACCAAGGCGACGAUCAGUAGCCGGUCUGAGAGGAUGAACGGCCACAUUGGAACUGAGACACGGUCCAAACUCCUACGGGAGGCAGCAGUGGGGAAUAUUGCACAAUGGGGGAAACCCUGAUGCAGCGACGCCGCGUGAACGAAGAAGGUAUUCGUAUCGUAAAGUUCUGUCCUAUGGGAAGAUAAUGACAGUACCAGAGAAGAAAGCUCCGGCUAAAUACGUG
rnacentral:rRNA from 1 species